rnacentral:rRNA from 1 species
GAUGAACGCUGGCGGCGUGCCUCAAACAUGCAAGUCGAGCGGGGCUAUGUAAUACCGCAAGGUAGAACAUAGCCUAGCGGCGAACGGGUGAGUAACACGUGGGUAACCUGCCUGGAAGACAGGGAUAACGAUUCGAAAGGGUCGCUAAUACCUGAUAAUAUCCUUUCAUCGCAUGGUGAUAGGAAGAAAGGGGAAACCCGCUUUCAGAUGGGCCCGCGUCCCAUCAGCUAGUUGGUAAGGUAAAGGCUUACCAAGGCGACGACGGGUAGCCGGUCUGAGAGGAUGUACGGCCACACUGGGACUGAGAUACGGCCCAGACUCCUACGGGAGGCAGCAGUGGGGAAUAUUGGGCAAUGGGCGGAAGCCUGACCCAGCGACGCCGCGUGAGGGAAGACGGCCUUCGGGUUGUAAACCUCAGUUAUACGGGACGAAGGAAGUGACGGUACCGUAAGAGAAAGCCACGGCUAACUACGUG